GAUCCCCACGCACCGCCAGCCGCGCCCGCUCCGCAGCCCGGCCCGCGGCGGGCGGAGCGCCAGGACCCCGCAGGAUCCUGCCCGCAGCCUCUACCGCGGCCCCGCCGCGCCGUGCGCGCCCCACGCCGCCAUGUUGGCCUCGCGGCCCGCGGGUGUCCCAGCGCCCCCUGACGGGCGGCGCCCGCGCGGAGGGACAACCGCGCUCGGGCCUGGCAGCGACUGCGCUGCGGCCGCUUUGUUCCCAGGGCAGCAAAGGCAAACACUCCUGCGUUCACUCCGCGUAAAUUCAGGGACACAGUAGUACAAGUGUUGGUUGCCUGGCCAAUAGGUGGAUCUUGAUCAUAUGUCACCUCUGCACCCAACGGUUGACAUGCAACUACUUGUUGCCAAGCAAGAGAAGUUUCUUACAGUGCCCAGUUGCCUGCCUGUAAAUUAGUGCUUGUUUAAACACAAACAUGAAACGUCAUAGUUUUAGUUCUUCAUAGUUUUCACCUGAAAGUGAGCUGUUAGUGGUUCUCCAGUAUGUGACAUGUUUUAGCCUGAGGACUCUGAUGGAGCCAGCUGAAUUGGAGAGACUUGAAGAAGUAACAGAGCACAUCACUGCAAGAGAGGUAUUCAGUUCUCCUCCUUGUCUCCUCACUGAUGGCUGCAAGCUGAUGGUGACACAGACCUUUUUUGGAAGAACUGUGGUGCCGGAUUGCCUCAGCCACCUUGCAUGGUUUGGUGAUGCAGGUGAGCUCAUCAAAUCUCUCAUAUAUCAAGCACCUCUAGCAAGUUGCUCCAGCUCAAAACAUCACUCCCUUCUGCUGUUGAUAGGAGUUUCUUAGCAAAAGUUACUGCCUUUGCAACACAAGUUGGAGGGAUCACAAAAGAAAAAAAAUCAACCCACAUCUCACUUCUCAGUCUGGCACGUUAAACUGUUACUCCAAGGACUGUAUCCAAGGGACACCACAGCAUGGGCGUGCAUUCCUCUUUGGUGACACAGACAGGAAAGGACAACUGUCUCUGGAAAAGCAGAAGUCUCAAAUAGCUGGGGAGCAGUAUUGUCAUACAUACUGGAAACGUGCACACAGACCAAGAGUCUUUCAGGUCCAUGCAGCCAUACAAUUAUUUUAUGCAAGACCAAAAUGAUGACUGCAGUGAACUAAGGAAACUUUAUAGUUUUAUCUGUGUUUUAUGUAUGCAUAUCAACUUUCCAUUUUUACUAGGUUUGGGUUCCAGUUUUCAAUGCUAGCAAUUCAUCUCUAGAGCUCCGUCCCUCUGGCUUCUACUAAAAUCCCAUCCUGCCAAGACAUUUUUGUAGCAAAGCCUUUGCAGAGGUUUGAUUAAUUUCAAUCAUUCCUAGCCUGCAAAUGUGAAAUCCCGUUAGACAAUAAGGACAUCACAUCACAAAAUAACUUCCUUAGACAUCUUUGCCUGCACUGAUUUACAUCUAUUUUUAAAAGGAAACUCCAAACAUGGGGGACUUGCAUAUCUUACUUUUACACUCAAUAAAAACACUGAGAAUACUCAACUACAAGAUAUUUAAAUCCUGGCUUGCUUAGGAACAACUAACUGGUUAGAAAAUUAACCAGCCUUUAAAAAUAAUAUCCCAAUGAGUGAAUUACUAUAGGUUAUCAAAUGAGUAAAGCUUCUUCAUAGAAGCAAAACCACCUGAUGUAGCACAGACUGGUUCAGCUAAAUACAGCACACUGAAAAAUAGGACAAACACACAAUAUACUUUCCAAAGAUCUUCCCUUAAAACAGGGGACAAGGGAAAUAGAGUUGCUAGUCCACAGGAGGCUGCAGAGGCAGGAAAGAAGCUGCUGCAGCUCAGAGCAAGCCAGUCUCACAGAGAAUUCAAGACCACUUAUAGGCACAUAAAUAUGUUGUGGAGUGCUUGAGAAACUCCUUGAAGGCUUAUGUCUGAGGUGCUUUCUCACCAUUUCGUUUGUGUGAAACCUUCUUCUUCAAAACCUGCCUUCUGACGCUGGGUGUGUGUGGACGUCACAUGGGGACUAUUGAAAGAGGCGCCUCCCGCCCCGCUCUGCUUCCCUCAGUCCCGUUCCUAGCCGUGCGAUGUCACUAUUCUCCGUUGUCUCAGCACGAAAACUUGCCUGUUUUCGUCAACAGGAAGGCAUCGACUUGCUCUAUAGACAGUCGUGGCUAUUCUGUCUAGCAGAGGGUCAUAUGACACUCACAGUUCAGACAGAUCAGAGGCAGGAACGUGACAUUCCAUUGACACUGUCAUCUCAUAUAAUGUGUGCUAAGAGCAUGUCUUUCACUAAAUCUGCUAGUUUCCCAAAGUUUCUGAAUUUUAAUUUCUGUCUUUGGCAUCCAAGAUGAGGUUUGAAUGACAUCCAAGUACAGCUGGUUCUGUAACAUUGCAUGUAGUUCUAGAAAACCAGCUUGGUGGGGGUGCUCAGUAAUCCCAGCUCAGUGCUAGCCUCGCAUGUGUCCAUUCACACUGCUGUCAGCUGGACCUCACUGAGAUUGUAGGUUUAGGGGUACAGAAUAAAGGUUUACAUGUGUGUCCCCUCCGAUAGAGACAUAGCUAUCCAUGAAUUCAAACAGCCUUUUCGGGAAACCUUUGCUUGGGCUUUGUUUGGGAAACAAACCUACUACAUCUCUAUCCCUGUCUUUUUUCUACCUAUACAACAAAGUCAGAUGCAAACUGCACUGGUUAUUGUCAGUCCUGAUCAGAAGAACCACUUUACCACUCAGAAAAGUGAGAUCAUGUGUUUUCAGAAAUGUAUCAUAAUUGCCUCAAGGGUGUAUGACCACCACUAUCAGUUUCUUCUCUCAACUAGAUUAACAAGCAGGAAUACAGUUUUUGACUAACCAGCACAAGAAAUGCAUUUAAUAAGUAAACCAUUUUGGAUCCCAGAAGACCCUAACAUUGCUUUCAACUCCUUGGAGAAAAGCACUCAAUUUCACAACAGUUAAUAUAAUAGGAGCUGGAGAGGCUUUUUCCACUCAGCUCGAAGACAGAAACCUGAGUGGAAUCAAGAUGCACACAUGUAGAUAAAUUACAUGAUCUUAAUCAAAGUAUUUAAUAUGCAACUUUGGUGUAUUGUAAAACAAAACCCCUUCAGUCACUCAUUAGUUCUGUAACAGAAAAUAAAAGUGCGCAAAUGUUUUCUUUUUCCCCAGAAAGUAAGGAGAAUCAAAAACAUUCUGGGUAGAGUAAGGAAGCAGAACAAGGACUGUUUCUUUGCUGAAUAGCAUACCAAAUUUAGUUGAAGAAAAAAAAAAGUCAAACUUGUCAACUAUGCAGCUUCAUUUCUGGAAAUGCUGAGCCAAUGCCAUUCUCUAUUAGGUACUAUUGGAAGGGAAGAAGUUCACACUGACAAAUCUGGCCCUGCUAUAUUCAGCUGCCUUAUCGUGCAGUUAAGCGUCUAAACUUAUACAUCUAGGGAAGUUUUAAAAUAUAAGGUCUGUGUGCUGUAUACUCUUCUCAGUUGUUUCUUAACUCAUUGUCUCACUUUUUUCUUUAAUCACAACUACCUCUAUUCUAUGGUCCCAAUAUCCAUGAUUACUCCAUGUGCUUCACCCAAUCACAACACCACAUCUCAUUUAAACAGGUUUGCUUUUCAGCUUCUGCUUUGUAAUAAAGUAAAAAAAUGCAGCAGUUUUCUGUGCCAAGGUCAUUAAAAAUUACAUUCUUAUGCUGUGUUUCAACCAGAGAUCUACUCCCUACACUUCCUGGUUGAGACACAGCUGCCUGUGGUUCUAAAAAUAAUCCUGCUCUUUUCCGACACACUACUAGCCUGCAUAUGCAUCCUGUAUGUGCUAGUUACCCACACAGCCGUGCUAGACUUCUUGGAGCUCCUUAAAUAUAAUCAUGUGUCUUCAAAUGUAUGGCUUGUAUUAAUGUUCCAGUGAAGCCACAAACAGAUCAGAAAAUUAUCUUUGCAAUGUCAAUCCUUAAGCAACCUUUGGGUUGCUCCCAGUACUUGCUUCUAAAUACAUAAUUUACUUCCAUUAUAUUAUGUUUAAUCUGCCCAUGUCUGUUCCUGCCUUUCCAUUAUAAAGGCAGCAUAUUGUGCCUGCUAGGUACUGAGCUAGUGCAGCUGCGAAGGCAAACGCAACUCCUGAGCUGGCAAAUUACCUCUUAAUUCACGUUAACCCGAUUCCUGUAUUUUAAGCAAUUAAUUUUUUUCUGGAGUGGAAGGCAGGCAAGGCUCCCUAGGUAAAAACCAGCAACACUGGGUUAGGUCAAUAUAUUUAUAUAAGCACUAAUACAAUUUCUGUCUCAAUUCUAGAAUUCCCUAAUUAUAAAGGGCAGACUGAAACAGGAAAGGGGGAUUUCUUAUGCACUAAACUAAAGAAAAUGACAAAAACUAAAAUGGGAAAGUAUUAGAAACUGCCUUGCAACUAAAACAACAAAAAGGGAUCCCAUUUCCCCUUUCUUUAGUCCUUGCUGUGCUGCAGGUUGUAACUAUGCCCCUUUGGGCUGGACUGGAUCCCUCACAGCAGGGCUGACCGUUACACGAGGCGAUGGAGUACAUUGUACUCCCCAGGGUUAUAGAAUAGAAUCAUUAGGUCCAUUAGAACUCUCAGGUCUUCUUACUCCAGGAAGACAGGAGAACGAUCCAAGUCAGUCAGAUGAAAGCAGGAACAGUAACUUUAGCCAGACAAGCUCCAUAGGGAGAGAUGAUAUGUUUUCAUUGGACCAACUGAUACAGCUGAAGAAAAGCAAACCAGCUUUCAGGAACACAAGCCCUCCUUUACUAAGCUCAGCAUCACUGGGCCAGGGGAGGCGGAACAAUAGCUCCCUUCUCUCAGGAAGGUUAACCAUAGCUGUGGGACAAGCCUGGCAAAGACUGUCUGAAUCCAGCUAUUUUUUUUUGCAUGGCAUUUAUAU